GGACGAACGCUGGCGGCGUGCCUAACACAUGCAAGUCGAGCGAUGAUCGGAAGAUGAGGCCCUCGGGCGGAAUCUUCUGAGAUUAGCGGCGGAUGGGUGAGUAACGCGUGGGCAAUCUGCCCUCCACAGGGGGAUAACACAGGGAAACUUGUGCUAAUACCGCAUAACAUCUUUUUAAGGCAUCUUAUGAAGAUCAAAGGAGCGAUCCGGUGAAGGAGGAGCCCGCGUCUGAUUAGCUGGUUGGUGAGGUAACGGCCCACCAAGGCGACGAUCAGUAGCCGAACUGAGAGGUUGAUCGGCCACAUUGGGACUGAGACACGGCCCAGACUCCUACGGGAGGCAGCAGUGGGGAAUAUUGCACAAUGGAGGAAACUCUGAAUGCAGCAACGCCGCGUGAAGGAUGACGGCCUUCGGGUUGUAAACUUCUUUGGCAGGGGACGAAGACAGUGACGGUACCCUGAGAACAAGCCACGGCUAACUACGUGCCAGCAGCGGC
rnacentral:rRNA from 1 species